UACGUAGGGUGCAGGCGUUAAUCGGAAUUACUGGGCGUAAAGCGUGCGCAGGCGGUUUGCUAAGACAGGUGUGAAAUCCCCGGGCUUAACCUGGGAACUGCGCUUGUAACUGGCAAGCUGGAGUGUGGCAGAGGGGGGAGGAAUUCCACGUGUAGCAGUGAAAUGCGUAGAGAUGUGGAGGAACACCGAUGGCGAAGGCAGCCCCCUGGGCUAACACUGACGCUCAUGCACGAAAGCGUGGGGAGCAAACAGG
rnacentral:rRNA from 1 species